rnacentral:rRNA from 1 species
UAGGGAAUCUUCCACAAUGGACGAAAGUCUGAUGGAGCAACGCCGCGUGAGCGAAGAAGGGUUUCGGCUCGUAAAACUCUGUUGUUAAAGAAGAACAUAUCUGAGAGUAACUGUUCAGGUAUUGACGGUAUUUAACCAGAAAGCCACGGCUAACUACGUGCCAC